rnacentral:rRNA from 1 species
AGCGAACGCUGGCGGCAGGCCUAACACAUGCAAGUCGAACGAACCUUUCGGGGUUAGUGGCGGACGGGUGAGUAACACGUGGGAACGUGCCUUUAGGUUCGGAAUAACUCAGGGAAACGUGUGCUAAUACCGAAUGUGCCCUUCGGGGGAAAGAUUUAUCGCCUUUAGAGCGGCCCGCGUCUGAUUAGCUAGUUGGUUGAGGUAAUGGCUCACCAAGGCGACGAUCAGUAGCUGGUCUGAGAGGAUGAUCAGCCACAUUGGGACUGAGACACGGCCCAAACUCCUACGGGAGGCAGCAGUGGGGAAUCUUGCGCAAUGGGCGAAAGCCUGACGCAGCCAUGCCGCGUGAAUGAUGAAGGUCUUAGGAUUGUAAAAUUCUUUCACCGGUGACGAUAAUGACGGUACCCGGAGAAGAAGCCCCGGCUAACUUCGUG